UGCCAGCAGCCGCGGUAACACGGGGGGCGCAAGCGUUGUUCGGAAUUACUGGGCGUAAAGCGCAUGUAGGCGGCUAGUUAAGUCGGAUGUGAAAGCCUGGGGCUCAACCCCAGAAGUGCAUCCGAAACUAUCUAGCUUGAAUAUGGAAGAGGGUAGUGGAAUUCCUGGUGUAGUGGUGAAAUACGUAGAUAUCAGGAGGAACAUCGGUGGCGAAGGCGGCUGCCUGGUCCAAUAUUGACGCUGAGAUGCGAAAGCGUGGGGAGCAAACAGGAUUAGAUA
rnacentral:rRNA from 1 species